rnacentral:lncRNA from 1 species
GUCUCUUGCUCCAGCCAGAGCUCGAGGUUAGCUCUUCACUGCCCUGUGUCUUCUUUCCAAGGGUCUCGGUGAUUCGGCCACAGCCUCAGCCUCCAUCACGCGGUGAACUGAUGGUGCUGGAAGAUUCAUAGACUCCAGGACAUUCCUGAAGCCGAGAAAAGGUUAAGUAGGGUCUGGCCUGGAAUACUCUCCUAGAUGAAGAUAGCCCAACCAUGAGCCACCUUCGAAGCAGAUGAGAUGAAAUUAAAGCUCUUCAACUCCUAAAGGCCCAGAGACUAUCACAAAAGAGGUCAGAAAUCCUGAAGGUCACUUUCUGACAAACUCAGGAACCCCAGGUUUAUCUUGGAGCCUCAAGAGGAGAUAAAUUCACCCAACUCAGGCUGGAGUGCAGUGGAAUGAUCUUGGCUCACUUCCGUCUCCGCCUUCCAGUUUCAAGUGAUUCUCCUGCCUCAGCCUACUGAGUAGUUGGGAUUACAGGUGCCUGCCACCACACCCAGCUAAUUUUUGUAUUUUUAGUAAAGAUGGGGUUUCACCAUGUUGGCCAGGCUGGUCUCAAACUCCUGACGUCAUGAUCUGCCCGCUUCAGUCUCCCAAAGUGUGAUUACAGAGUUUUGCUCUUGGUGCCCAGGCUGGAGUGCAUUGGCACGAUCUCUGGCUCACUGUGACCUCUGCCUCCCAGAUUCAAGUGAUUCUCCUGCCUCAGCCUCCUGAGUAGCUGGGAUUACGGGCAUGUGCCCCCAUGCCUGGCUAAUUUUGAAUUUUUAGUAGAAACAGGGUUUCUCCAUGUUGGUCAGGCUGGUCUUGAACUGCCAACCUCAGGUGAUCUGCCCACUUUGGCCUCCCAAAGUGCUGGGAUUACAGGCAUGAGCCACCGAGCCUGGCCUGAUUGUACUUUUAUAUAAUAAAAUGCAGUACAUUUAUAAAUUUUAGAUUAUGUGUGAAGUUAAUAGUUUAAUUCAACAUUUUUAACAUGUUAAAUACUAUUGUGCAUUCAAUGAAGCGUUAUUAUGCCACAAACUUUAACCUCUUUCACCUUACUCAAGGGUAUAGGUAAAAGAUGGUAACAAUAUACUGUUUAGUAAGAUAAUAGAUUAACAUCUCUAGUGAUUUUUUUUUUUUGCCAGUGGCUUUCAACUGCAAAUAAGUUAAAGAAUAUUGUUUCUGUAGGUAAAUUUUUAUUCUGUUUUUAAUCAUUUAAAUUUAUUUUAAUUUUGGUGGCUGCAUGAGUAUCUAUGCAAUAUAUGGCAUGUUUUAAUACAGGAAUACAAUAUAUAAUAAUAAUAUCAGCAUUAAGUGAGGCAUCCUUCACCUGUAGCAUUUAUCCUAUGUUUUAUAAUCCAAUUCUACACUUUUUUUUAAAUUUAAAAUGUACAAUUAAAUUGUUAUUUACUACAGGGUUAUUUUUAUGGUCAUAAUAAAAAUUAUAUAUGAGUAUAAAUAAAAUUCAUUGUUAAAUUCUUAA